GGAGUGUAGCUCAGUGGUAAAGUGUAUGUCUAGUGUGCAGGAAGCCCUGGGUUCAAGCCCCAGCACCAUCCA
rnacentral:tRNA from 1 species